CUGACGUCAUUCACGGCUUCCAAUCUCCCGGAAUUUUUCUCGAUCCCAAUAAACCUCGUCACUCCGUGCUGAGGCUGAGCCUGACAUCAGCCCUAUUAAUAAAUCUGUUCUCACCCGGCAGGCGGGAGCGGAGCCGGGGGAAGCGUUUCGACAACGGAGCCUUUCCAAGAGCCAAACAACAUUCCUGGUUUUUCAUAGGACACUGAGGAAUCCAGGGAUGAACGGCGGGGAUUGGGAGGAAGAGAAGGCAUUCGGAUGGAGAUAAAUCUCCUCCAGCGCCCUGGGAUGAGCAUUGAUCCAGUCUCCAAGAGCUCCAAAGGAAAAGGGAGCAAAACCAGGAAUCAACCCUUAGUUCCAGCUUGGAUUCCAAGGCGAAAUAUCUCAGGAAUAGGAAAAUUGUCAAGGUCACGCAGAGGUUGCUGCUGCAUAAAAAUCCCACAGAAUUA